rnacentral:rRNA from 1 species
AACGAACGCUGGCGGCGUGCCUAACACAUGCAAGUCGAACGGGAUUGAGGGGCUUGCUCCUCAAUUUAGUGGCGCACGGGUGAGUAACGCGUAGAUAAUCUGCCUGACGAUCUGGGAUAACACUUCGAAAGGGGUGCUAAUACCGGAUAAGCCCACGGGGACUUUGGUCUUUGCGGGAAAAGGGGGGGACCUUUUGGCCUUCUGUCGUCAGAUGAGUCUGCGUACCAUUAGCUAGUUGGUAGGGUAAAGGCCUACCAAGGCUACGAUGGUUAGCUGGUCUGGGAGGAGGAUCAGACACACUGGAAAUGAAAAACGGUCCAGACUCCUACGGGAGGCAGCAGUGGGGAAUUUUGCGCAAUGGGCGAAAGCCUGACGCAGCAACGCCGCGUGAGUGAUGAAGGCUUUCGGGUCGUAAAGCUCUGUCGAGGGGAAAGAAGUGUAUUAUGGUUAAUACCCAUGAUACUUGACGGUACCCCUAAAGGAAGCACUGGCUAACUCCGUGCCAGCAGCCGCGGUAACAC